UUUCUCUCUCUCUACUUUCUCCCUCAGGAAAACUCUCUCUCGGCACUACCGUCCCCGUGUCCGAUUUUCCUUCCUUUGGUGGCCAAAUCCCACAUAUAAUCCCUCCAAAACCACCUGAUCUAGGUGUAAUUGUGGCUGCUACUUCAUCGACUACCCAUGUGCUCUCUAAAUUGGAGAUUUCCAGAUCCACCGCCGGAGAAGCAGAUCCAGAACCCAACCAGAUCCCUGCCGGCAGAACCAGAUCCACCGCCAGAACUCCGACGAACCCUUCGACGUCCAUUCCGACACCAUUAACGGUAAUUAUUUCUACCAUUCCACUCGUUUUUUGAUUCUAAACAAAACCCCUCUGUCAAUUUGCCAUGACAGAGGGGAUUCAACAAUCAAUUUGGUGGAUUUGAAAUCUAGGGUGCUUGAGGAUUUGGGGUUAGUUUCAGUCACCAACGCAGGUGAUGGUGAUGGUGGUGGUGGUCGAGUGCAGAUGGUAGUGGUGGUGGUGGCGGUGGUGGUUCCCAAUCCAAAUUCCCCCCAUUCAAAAUUUUGUGCUCUCAAACAUUCAUCUCUCUUCCCUCUCGAUCCGUUCGUUUCCAGGAAAAACUUCCACCGACGAACCACAACACCAGACUGACCAAUAAACUACUACUCUCUGCGACUGCCAUUUAGAGACCGAAACAAAGGGGUUUACCCGGACUGAAUCGAGACCGGUGAAGGGAACUUCCUGUGAAUGAUUUUAACUUUUAAUAUGCACUCUUUUGUUAAGGUCUGCCUGCCUGCUGAAAUUCACUAUUAUGCUAGGUUUGAAGUGCUGCGAUUUUGGGUGCAGUUGACCUUGUUGCAUAUGAUUGAUGAUGUUGAGAGUCUAUGCAUAUCAAGUGUUCGAAGAAA